GAAACACUUUGUCUCCCAAGACAUCUCUGCCCACGUGUCCUCCUCUGCAAUGGAAAUGCAAUGCAGUGAAACACAGAAGCAAGGAAGAACAACUUGUAAGCAAACACAUUUGUUCAAAAGGUGGGAGCUGAGCUGCGUUUGCUUGAAAUUUUCGUUUUAAUCGAUGGUUUCCGCUCGAAGUUGUUAUGUUCUGGGUUAAUUCCCAGCUCUGGAUGGUGGUCCUCCAUUAGGAUGCCGUCUCAUCAUCUGAGCUCCUCUCGUGGUCCUGCCGCUAAUCAUCCAGCCUUUUCUUUGUCAGCGGUCCCAAGAAUUACGAGGAAUUUGACAAGCACUCUUUUCUGGAUCGCAGUUGGCAUCAUUGCAAGGUAGUAAUCAUUUUUUUCUAGUCAGCUAGUGGCUCUCACUUGGAACUUGGUUUCUCGCAGUAGCAGGACAGAAUCAUAUGGAUUCUCAAGCCGAUAUGAAGAGCAGGAGCUCAGGAUCACUUCUGGACGACAGUGUGUGGUCGCAGCUCCCUGAAGACAUGACUCGCAUAAUUCUCGCGAGGCUACCACUUCCGAAUUUACUCCAGGUUCGUACCGUCUGCAAGAAGUGGGAAGCUACAAUUCGAUCACCUCCUUUCCUCAAGCUGUGCUCGGAUCUUCCGUUCCGCGCACCGUGGUACUUGGGAUUCCACGGCUUCAGGCACGAGCAGGGGUGGGCUUUCGAUCCUAGCUCCAGCAGAUGGUACACUCUCGACUUUACUUUCCUUCCACCUGGGCGCUGCGCUGCUGCCGCUGGAGGCUUGCUGUGCUUCUGCCAGGACAGCGUCCAGGCCAACUCUCUCUACGUUUGCAACCCGAUCACCAAGGUGUGGAGAGCUCUUCCUCGCUUCCCAGGCAGCAUCAAACAGGUGGCUAUGCGUGUCGACAAGGCCGAGGAUACGUACCUGGUGAUAGCCUUCGUCCAGGACGACGUGAAGUGUGGAGCUCUCUUGUACCGCAAAGGCGACGAUUCCUGGCGAGAAGCAGCAGCUAUGGCUUCUCACCCGCAGCUACUAAACAUCGUCGAUGCGGCCUUCAGCGGGGGUGUUCUCUACUGCCUCAACAAGUGCGUGACUCGCGACUGGCAGUAUAUCAAGUGCUACCACUUCGAACAGGAUGAGUGGAGCGACCUUGGUAUUCCCAUGCCGAGCGCGUUCCGAGGCCAGGAUCUCGUGCAAAUGCCUUACCUGGUUGAUCAUGGAGGAAAGCUGCUCCUGGUGGAGAAGAUCAUUUCAAGCUUCGCAGACAACUCCACCACCUUGGCUGCUGCCGCUGCUCCAAGUCUCGUGGACAAGGCUUUAAAGCCGGCUAUUAAAGCGAGCGUCGGGAUUCACGAGUUGGAUCUGGGAGCUCGAGAGUGGAAGAAUGUGGCCGGGACUCUGGAGCAUACGACUCUGUUCGUGGGAUCCUUCACGUCCAGGGCGGUCUACUGUGCAGGUAGUCAGAAGCUGGUUUAUUUCACUAACCACGGCUCUGUAGUGAGCGUGUACGACGCCAUUCAAGACUCCUGGCACCGGCUUCCAGAGUUCCCCCGCCAGAGAAUGAUGUCGAACUGGAUUUUCGGGAAGCCCAAGCGGAACCUCGGCGUCGUGAUCCCGCUCAAGGGGCUCUGGUUUGACCCUCGGCUGGAUUCUACCGUAUAGCCCUUCUCGACUUGGAAAGUGUUCCACAUCGACUAGAAACCCUGGUAUAUAUUCGAGCUCGAAACUAUAGAAACGAAGAAAAGCCGGCUAGAGGAUCUUGUUUCAACUCGGCACAGCCAUCGCAUUGGCCGAAAGCAGGAUGACGCAGAUAAGAUAAAGAAUCAGCGCACGCUGGGAUCUCGCUCGAAGUUGACGCGAUUCCGAUGGACACUCGACACACACACUGCACAGAAACCAGACGAAGAAAAGAAUGACAAGCACCGACGCUGCGCUUCUUUUCCAUUUUUCUUUCGUGGGAUGGAUGGAUCGCUCAAUCAGCAGCAGGGGCAGGACCACCGAAAUCAACAAAGCACAUACCACCAACCAGGCCUCGCUUUCUUCCCACAGGACCCCAAAAUCUUCUUUUUCUCUUGUAACAGCGACGGUGGCGGUGCUGUUGCGACGGUGCUCGUUCCAGAAUAGCGAUCGAUCAAAAAACUAAGCGAAGAAAACGCCAGAUGAAUCAAGACAAGCCACAAGCUUUCAAGCCACGAGCUUUCAAUGGUAAAGUGGAAGAGAGAAUCCAGUUUUAACAGCGAGCGAGGGAGCGAGGGAGCGAGGCAGCGAGAGGGAGCGAGCACCCUCCAAAUGUGAAGCAGACAGGCAUCCAGCCAUGAAAGCUUUAAAUUCCUUGCCUAUGGUAUUGACCAGCUUUUUUGUUUUCCUUCCAGGACGAAAGAAUCUCACAAACAAAAGGGUCCCAGAUAGCUGUACCAACAAAGCAAGCAAGAGACGCUUGGAUGGAAGUAAGCUUUCUCUUU